rnacentral:lncRNA from 1 species
UUCAUUUUCGUGCUUGCACUUGUUGGUGUCUUUUAUCCUUAUAAUCGUGGAGCUCUAUUUACUGCACUGGUUGUCAUAUAUGCUCUGACAGCUGGGAUUGCAGGCUACACUGCAGCCUCUUUCUUUUGCCAACUGGAAGGAACAAAUUGGGUUAGUGGUUUUUUAAUUCCUAUUUUACUGCCUUGGCAUGUAUCAUUCCCGGGCAUGUCCUUGACACUUGUUAUAGCUGUAUUUAUUUUUUAAGGUUAAUGUCUUCUGAUUCAAUUUCACUACACUACAAUGUUUCUUUAGAAUGUGUGUGUUUUGGGAUAAUGUUUUGUGAAAUUUGGUAUAAGCAUUGCCAAAGGGGGUGAAAAUGACCUAAUGCUUGCAAACUGUUUUCCCCAUUCAUCAUAUCUGAACCAACUGGAUGCUAUAAAAAGCAAGCUUUCCUAGAGAAAGAAAAGAGUGGACUUGAAAGUUGAUGGUGUACUGCUACCUGAAAGCUUGCAUUAAAUUUCAAAUGUGAUUUUUAGAAGUCUUUAAAAAGGAGAUCGACACUUCAGAGUCACUGUUAGAUAUCAGUUUACAUGCACUGAAACUAAGUAAUGCUAGACACAGAUAUGACUGCAAUUCAUUAUUUUAUGUUGGUUGUCUUUGUGAAAACUAGCACCUUCUGUAUUCAUUUGUUUAAUGAUAUUGAUGGUAAUUAGUCAUUGUUGUAAUGAUGUAUUUUUUGUUUGUUUGCAUUGGGAUCGUUGGUCCUUGUAGUCCUAUUCUGUAUUAUUGCAACAUCUCUAGCUCUACUCUAGAAACUACCAUUCAAAUUUCGAGACUUUAUCCUUGACAGAUUUGGAAUUUUGUUGUUGCAGGUCAGGAACUUGUUGCUAACUGGAGCCCUGUUUUGUGGUCCUCUGUUUCUCACCUUUUGCUUUCUUAAUACUGUUGCAAUUGCAUAUAGUGCCACUGCAGCAUUACCAUUUGGAACAAUAGUGGUGAUAUUUCUUAUU